rnacentral:lncRNA from 1 species
AUGCUUUUACUUUCACAAAUGUCUCCUCCUUCCGGUGCACAUAGUGCGCUACUUAAAACUGUGUUAAGAACUGUAAUAUUUAUACAAUCUUCAUUGUUUUUAUCACAAUUUUUUGUAUCUUUUUCAUUUCUUAUAUCAUUAUAUGUGCACUCAUUUUUGUUCACAUGUGCUGCUUUGUUCUUCCUUUCGUCAGUUUUUUUUUCGUCAGUUUUUUUUUCGUCAUUUUUUUUUUCGUCAGUUUUUUUUUUGUCAGUUUUUUUUUUGUCAGUUCUUUUUUUGUCAGUUCUUUUUUUGUCAGUUCUUUUUUUGUCAGCUCUUUUUUUAUCAGCUCCUUUUUUAUCAACGCUUUUUUCUCCAUUACUCUCUUCACCACUACGGUUGUCACCACUGUCAUCGUCAUCACUACUAUCAUCGUCAUUAUUUCUGUUAGUAUUACCUCUAAGAAAACUACCAAAAUAUUGAUUCCUUUUCAACUGAUUAAUUAUAUGUAUCCUAUUUUUGAAAAUACUAUUUUUAUGUACACUACUUUUGUGUAACCUACUUCUGUAAAUACCACUUCUAUGGACACAACUUCUGUGAAUACAACUUCUGUAACUAGUUACUUUAAGUACAUUGUUCAAUUCCGAUUUUGUUAAAUUUUUUGUUUCAAUAACAUCCAAACCGUUUUUUAAUGAUUUACUAUUGAGAUAUCCCGUAACCAUAAUAUUACUAUCAGUACCUCCAUUAGUUCUUUCAUUACUGCCUCCAUUACUACUUGCAUUACUGCCUCCAUUACUGCCACCAUUACUGCCUCCAUUACUGCUUGUAUGACUUGGUUCUGUUUUUUUUUUUAAAUUUUUUUUAACAGAGAUACUAUUUUUAUUAUAUACGUUAUUUCCAUUCAUAUUGCAUAACUCAUAUUUCAAAUCACGGAAAGUGUAAAAAUCACGAAAAGUGUACAAAUCACGGAAAGUGUACAAAUAGUUUCGAUUUAAUAAUAUAAAUUUUUUAUUUAAAUUCGAGAUGGGAAUAUUACGAUAGAAAUAAAACAACUUUUUAUUAUUUCUAAAAAUGGAGU